rnacentral:tRNA from 1 species
CAGAUGGAAGCCCGCUGGGUUGGGUGUUUAGUUGUUAACUAAUUUAUUUGUGGGGUCGAGGCCCACCCAUCUG